rnacentral:rRNA from 1 species
GUCCUUUAGUUUAAUAAUUUAAGGUCUAACCUGCCCACUGAAAAGUUUUAAAUGGCCGCAGUAAAUUGACUGUGCAAAGGUAGCAUAAUCAUUAGUUUUUUAAUUAAAAGCUUGUAUGAAUGGUUGGACGAAAUAAGAUCUGUCUCUGAGUAAUAAAAAGAAUUUAAUUUUUAAGUAAAAAAGCUUAAAUAUAAUUAAAAGACGAGAAGACCCUAUAGAUCUUUAUAUUAAAUUUUAUAUUUUUAUUUAAGAUUAUUUUAUUUAUUAUAUUAUUUAUUAUUUUAUUGGGGUAAUAGGAAGAUUAAUAAAAUUCUUUUUAAAAUAUUUACAAAAAUUAUUGAUUAUUUGAUCCUUUAUUAAAGAUUAUAAGAUUAAGUUACCUUAGGGAUAACAGCGUAAUUUUUUUAAAGAGUUCAUAUCGAUAAAAAAGUUUGCGACCUCGAUGUUGGAUUAAAAAUUGUCCCAGGUGUAGGAGUUUGGGUGUUUCUGGUCUGUUCGACCAUUAAAUUUUU